GUACACGCUGUGACUAGCAUAUCAAUAGCGGAGGAAAAGAAACUAACAAGGAUUCCCCUAGUAACGGCGAGUGAAGCGGGAAGAGCUCAAAUUUGAAAUCUUAAAGGGUUUCCCUUUACGAAUUGUAGUUUAAAGAAGUGUUUUCUGUUGAGGUUUUGGUAAAAGUUCUUUGGAAUAGGACAUCAUAGAGGGUGAGAAUCCCGUAUUUGACCUUUACUUUCAACUUUGUGAUACACUUUCAAAGAGUCGGAUUGUUUGGGAAUGCAGUCCAAAAUGGGUGGUAAAUUUCAUCUAAAGCUAAAUAUUGGCGAGAGACCGAUAGCGAACAAGUACCGUGAGGGAAAGAUGAAAAGAACUUUGAAAAGAGAGUUAAACAGUACGUGAAAUUGUCAAAAGGGAAGCGUUUGACACCAGUGUUGUUUUUCUGAAAAUCAAUUAAAGAACUGCUUAUGCUAAGUUGUUUAGACUUUAUCAGCUAAUCUGUUUAGUUUUGAGCUCUUUCGUUAACUGCACUUUUCAGUUAACAAGUCAACAUCAAUUUCUUUUGCUGUAAAAAGAGCUUGAGGAAGGUGGCUUGAGAUUCGUCUUAAGUGUUUAUAGCCUCUUGCCUAUGCAGUCGGAGAGAUUGAGGUCUGCAGCGUAGAUCCUUCGGGGCUAAAUGCAUUUGUGCUAAGUUAUAGCAUUUUAUAGACAACUUGUUGACUAUGAUUUGUCUUGUAGCUUACUCGCUUAUGUUAUUUUACCUACGCUUAGGAUGUUGAAGAUGUAGCACAUCAU
rnacentral:rRNA from 1 species